AGUGGUAGGAGAGCGUUCUAGUCAGCAUUGAAGCCAUACCGGUAAGGAGUGGUGGAGCGGCUAGAAGUGAGCAUGCAGGCAUGAGUAGCGAGAAAACGGGUGAGAAUCCCGUUCGCCGUAAACCCAAGGGUUCCUACACUAUGCUCGUCAAUGUAGGGUUAGUCGGGUCCUAAGCUGAGUCCGAAAGGGGUAAGCGAUGGCAAAUUGGUUAAUAUUCCAAUACCAACUAAUAGUUUAGUACGAUGGGGGGACGCAUAGGGUUAAACGAGGUCACUGAUGGAAUAGUGGCUCGAAGGGUGUAGAUAAGCUGGAUAGGAAAAUCCGCCGGCUGUUUUCGAGACCUGACAGGCAGAUCGAGUUCUUCGGAACAACAUCUGAAUCGUUGAUACCGUCGUGCCAAGAAAAUCCUCUAAGUGUAUUAUUAGUUGCCCGUACCGUAAACCGACACAGGUGGGUGAGAUGAGUAUUCUAAGGCGCGUGGAAGAACCCUGGUUAAGGAACUCUGCAAACUAGCACCGUAACUUCGGAAUAAGGUGUGCCUCCUUCUGUAUAGAGAUUUACUCUCGAAAGCGGAAGAGGUUGCAACAAAGAGUCCCUCCCGACUGUUUAUCAAAAACACAGCACUUUGCUAACUCGCAAGAGGAUGUAUAAGGUGUGACGCCUGCCCGGUGCUUGAAGGUUAAUUGAUGGGGUUAGUUCUUCGGAACGAAGCUCUUGAUCGAAGCCCAAGUAAACGGCGGCCGUAACUAUAACGGUCCUAAGGUAGCGAAAUUCCUUGUCGGUUAAAUACCGACCUGCAUGAAUGGCGUAACGAGAUGGGAGCUGUCUCAACCAGGGAUCCAGUGAAAUUGUAGUGGAGGUGAAAAUUCCUCCUACCCGCGGCAAGACGGAAAGACCCCGUGCACCUUUACUAUAGCUUGACACUGCAAUUGGGAUAUAUUUGUGCAGGAUAGGUGGGAGGCUUUGAUUCUAUGGCGCUAGCUGUAGAUGAGCUAUCCUUGAGAUACCACCCUUAUAUAUUCUGAUUGCUAACUUGCUUGGGUUAUCCCCAAGGAGGACAAUGUCUGGUGGGUAGUUUGACUGGGGCGGUCGCCUCCUAAAAAGUAACGGAGGCUUACAAAGGUUGGCUCAUAUCGGUUGGAAAUCGAUAGCAGAGUAUAAUGGUACAAGCCAGCUUAACUGCGAGACGUACAUGUCGAGCAGAGACGAAAGUCGGUCAUAGUGAUCCGGUGGUUCUGUGUGGAAGGGAGGAUAAAAGGUACGCCGGGGAUAACAGGCUGAUCUCCCCCAAGAGCUCACAUCGACGGGGAGGUUUGGCACCUCGAUGUCGGCUCAUCACAUCCUGGGGCUGAAGCAGGUCCCAAGGGUACGGCUGUUCGCCGUUUAAAGUGGUACGCGAGCUGGGUUCAGAACGUCGUGAGACAGUUCGGUCCCUAUCUGCCGUGGGCGUUGGAUGAUUGAGGAGAGUUGCCCCUAGUACGAGAGGACCGGGGUGAACGAACCACUAGUGUACCAGUUGUUCUGCCAAGAGCAUCGCUGGGUAGCUACGUUCGGAUGAGAUAACCGCUGAAGGCAUCUAAGCGGGAAGCCAACUCCAAGAUGAAUCAUCCCUGAAGAUCCGCAGAAGACUACUGCGUUGAUAGGCUGGGUGUGUAAGUGUCGAAAGACAUUUAGCUGACCAGUACUAAUAGAUC
rnacentral:rRNA from 1 species